GUACUGUGCGAACGUUAUUCGGAAUCACUGGGCUUAAAGGGUGCGUAGGCGGUUGAUUAAGUAGGGUGUGAAAGCUCUCGGCCUAACCGAGGAAUUGCGCUCUAAACUGAUCGGCUUGAGUGAGAUAGGGGUGUGCGGAACUUCCAGUGGAGCGGUGAAAUGUGUUGAUAUUGGAAGGAACGCCGGUGGCGAAAGCGGCACACUGGGUCUCAACUGACGCUGAGGCACGAAAGCCAGGGUAGCGAACGGGGGAUUAGAUACCCCGGGUAGUCCUGGCUGUAAACGAUGAGCACUAGACGGGAGGGGGCUUCGGCCCCAUCCGGUCGCAGCGAAAGCAAUAAGUGCUCCGCCUGGGGGAGUAUGGUCGCAAGGCUG
rnacentral:rRNA from 1 species